ensembl:lncRNA
GUGACACCGCAGGACCCGGGUGAGGUUGGCGGCCAGGCCUCAGACUCCGUGUGUGGGACAUGUGCUGUCCGGGAGCCAGAAGCUGACCUUCCUGAAGGCUCCUGCUUAUCUGAUUUCAUCCCUGGAGCAGCCAUGUGACACAGCCGUGAUUUCCCUCUCGUCACUGAAGGAGCUGUAGUUAUUAAGUGACCUAGCCAAGGUCAUGCGCAGGAGAGGACAGAACCUCAGAAGGUCCGGAUUCUCUGCUUCUGGGCUGAGGCGCUGCCAGCCGCCGACCUUUGCGUGUGCAGAGGCGACUUGUGGAGGGAAGCCUUGCCGUGCAGUGGGAUCUAGAGGAAGUCCUAAACUGGGGAGAGCCUGGAGCCUGGAACAGGAACCGCUUUCCCCUGCAGGGAGGACUUCUGCCCUGACCAGAGUCCAGGCCCUGAUGUUCUUUGCAUAUGAAAGGUGAAUGUGGCCCCCCACUCUCCAGGACAGAGCCCCUGCUGCUCUGACGCUGUAUUUCUCGGUCACCACUGCUCACCCCCGCCGAGUCUGCUCAGUCCUUGGACCUUCGAUGGGCGCUGUGGGUGUGUGUGGGUGAGGGUGGAGUGGUGUCCUGGGGAAGAGGCAGGACCACGCGUGGCUUGCAGGCAGAAGGCAGGAGGUGCAGAGGAGUCUCGGGCAGGCCCAGCUGUGGGAGGCACAGGCUGCCUGGGGUUGGGUGCAGAUGGGCUUUCCGUGAAGUCUCAGGUAAGUCAGUGGCUCAGUGAGAGUUGUAUUCAGCACAGAAAACCCCGCGUGCUUUCGUCUUACCCCCAGGUGCAGGUUUACGUCCUAGGGCCUUAUGGGCCAGCGGCGUUGGCUAAGUCCGCAGGACCACGCUUGUUUCUUACAGGCUUUUCUCUGUUCUUUCCCACUCCUCACUCCCUCAUUCCUUGGGCGCCUGUAUGGAGCGCAGUUGUGCCUCAGUGUCUGGCGGGUCGGGUCCCACAGCCACAGUGCUGAGUCCCUGCCGUGGAAUGGCAGAGCAUUUACAUUUAACCUACACAUGUCCUCCCGUGUGCUUUGCAUCAUCUCCAGAUGAUUUACAGCAUCGACUACAGUGGAAAUGCUGUGCGAAUAGCUGUCACAUGGUUAGGAAUAAUGAAUGGCAUGAAUAAAAUCCUACACGCGUGGCGCAGGUGCAGCUUCUUUCAUCCAGGCACUUUCAGUCGAGGGUUGGACACGCUCUGUGCCGUGCAGUUCUGUUGUCUCGAGGCCUGGGUCUUGAGCGUGGCUGGCGAGAGUGAAAUGUGUGGGGAGCUGUGCAGGGCGCAGGGCACUGGCUCCGGCGCCUCCAGCGGCCUGGGGGACGGAGGGCUGAGGAACGUGAGCGAGUGCGGACCCUGCAUGCCUCUUACUGGAUGGGGCGCUCAGGCGCGAGCCGUUCUCCAGCCCUCCUGAGCUGUUGCCUCUUUGCAGCUGGGCCCUGCGUGGUGUCCCUGGAGGUCUGAGACCACGCGUCGCCCUGCCGGCUGGGACGAGAAGAGAGGCAGACACAGGGAGGAAGGGCCGCGGGCUGCUGCCUCUCCCCAUGCAGGUGCAUUGCUGUUCAAAAGGGGACUCAUUUAAUCUUUGGGCCCUAAAAGAAGUUACUUGUGCUUUCUUUCCUCUUUUCUACCCCUCCACCAGCCUCCAAAGAAUUUAAUCUGCUGGACAACAAACAAUACUGUUAUAAAACUCGGAAAACAGGAGGGUGAGGCCUCCAGACAAGGAGAAGGGCAUGCCGGGUAACGGCCCUAGGGAGCGCGCCAGGCCCGGGGCCAGCGCGGCGAGAGCCCGGUUGGCUGGUACCUGGGCCACUGCCCCGCCCAGCGCACUCGGCCGCGGAGCCAUCCGCAGAGCAGAAGGGAAGGAGUCCGAAGGAAAGGGGGCAGAAGCGCC